AGUGAACGCUGGCGGUAGGCCUAACACAUGCAAGUCGAACGGCAGCACAGUAAGAGCUUGCUCUUACGGGUGGCGAGUGGCGGACGGGUGAUGAAUACAUCGGAAUCUACUUUUUCGUGGGGGAUAACGUAGGGAAACUUACGCUAAUACCGCAUACGACCUACGGGUGAAAGCAGGGGAUCUUCGGACCUUACGCGAUUGAAUGAGCCGAUGGCGGAUUAGCUAGGUGGGGGGGUAAAGGCCCACCAAGGCGACGAUCCGUUGCUGGUCUGAGAGGAUGAACAGGCACAAUGGAACUGAGAAACGGUCCAGACUCCUACGGGAGGCAGCAGUGGGGAAUAUUGGACAAUGGGCGCAAGCCUGAUCCAGCCAUACCGCGUGGGUGAAGAAGGCCUUCGGGUUGUAAAGCCCUUUUGUUGGGAAAGAAAAGCAGCAGGUUAAUACCCCGCUGUUCUGACGGUACCCAAAGAAUAAGCACCGGCUAACUUCGUG
rnacentral:rRNA from 1 species